rnacentral:rRNA from 1 species
AGCGAACGCUAGCGGCAGGCUUAACACAUGCAAGUCGAGCGCCUGGUUUCGGCCUGGAGCGGCGAACGGGUGAGUAACACGUAGGUCACGUACCCUAUGGUGGGGAAUACCCCGGGGAAACUCGGAUCAAUGCCCCAUAUGUCCGAAAGGAUGAAAGCGCUUCGGCGCGCCAGAGGAUCGGCCUGCGGCCCAUUAUUUAAUCCUAGUUGGUGAGGUAACGGCUCACCAAGGGUACGAUGGGUAGCUGGUCUGGGAGGACGAUCAGCCACACUGGAACUAAGACACGUUCCAGCCUCCUACGGGAGGCAGAAGUGGGGAAUAUUGGACAAUUGGCGAAAGCCUGAUCCAGCCAUGCCGCGUGAGUGAUGAAGGCCUUCGAGUUGUAAAGCUCUGUCGUGGGGGAAGAAGUUCUGACGGUACCCCACAAGAAAGCACCGGCUAACUCCGUGCCAGCCGCCGCCGUAA